CCUACGGGCGGCAGCAGUGAGGAAUAUUGGUCAAUGGGCGAGAGCCUGAACCAGCCAAGUAGCGUGAAGGAUGACUGCCCUACGGGUUGUAAACUUCUUUUAUAAAGGAAUAAAGUGAGGCACGUGUGCCUUUUCGUAUGUACCUUAUGAAUAAGCAUCGGCUAACUCCGUGCCAGCAGCCGCGGUAAUACGUAGGGGGCUAGCGUUAUCCGGAUUUAUUGGGUGUAAAGGGUGCGUAGGUGGUUUCUUAAGUCAGAGGUGAAAGUCUACGGCUCAACCGCAGUGAGCCUUUGAAACUGGGGAUCUUGAGUGCGGGAGAAGAGAGUGGAAUUCGUAGUGUAGCGGUGAAAUGCGUAGAUAUUAGGAGGAACACCAGUUGCGAAGGCGGCUCUCUGGACUGUAACUGACACUGAGGCACGAAAGCGUGGGGAGCAAACAGGAUUAGAUACCCGAGUAGUC
rnacentral:rRNA from 1 species